rnacentral:rRNA from 1 species
AUUGAACGUUGGCGGCAGGCCUAACACAUGCGAGUCGAGCGGAUGAAGGGAGCUUGCUCCUGGAUUCAGCGGCGGACGGGUGAGUAAUGCCUAGGAAUCUGCCUGGUAGUGGGGGAUAACGUCCGGAAACGGGCGCUAAUACCGCAUACGUCCUGAGGGAGAAAGUGGGGGAUCUUCGGACCUCACGCUAUCAGAUGAGCCUAGGUCGGAUUAGCUAGUUGGUGGGGUAAAGGCCUACCAAGGCGACGAUCCGUAACUGGUCUGAGAGGAUGAUCAGUCACACUGGAACUGAGACACGGUCCAGACUCCUACGGGAGGCAGCAGUGGGGAAUAUUGGACAAUGGGCGAAAGCCUGAUCCAGCCAUGCCGCGUGUGUGAAGAAGGUCUUCGGAUUGUAAAGCACUUUAAGUUGGGAGGAAGGGCAGUAAGUUAAUACCUUGCUGUUUUGACGUUACCAACAGAAUAAGCACCGGCUAACUUCGUG